UACGUAGGGUGCAAACGUUGCUCGGAAUCAUUGGGCGUAAAGCGCACGUAGGCGGUUCGUUAUGUCGGAUGUGAAAGCCCUUGGCUUAACCGAGGAAGUGCAUCCGAAACUGGCGAGCUAGAGUACGAAAGAGGAUCGCGGAAUUCCCGGUGUAGAGGUGAAAUUCGUAGAUAUCAGGAGGAACACCCGUGGCGAAGGCGGCUCUCUGGGUCCGCCCUGACGCUGAGGCGCGAAAGCGUGGGGAGCGAACGGG
rnacentral:rRNA from 1 species